rnacentral:lncRNA from 1 species
GACCAUUUUCAGCCUCUUUAUAGCCAGGCUGUUAAAACUUUAACAAGAUUUCAAUGAAAUUCGUCUGCAUUAUCUAUCAGUGCAUAUUAUAUUACCUGGCAGGCGCUAUUUGGGAUGAGAUUGCACUCAUGACUCCUAAGCAUUCUAGUGAAACGGUUGUCGUCCUUGAAUAGCCAGAAACAACUUUCUUCUUAUGGGUCGCGGAUCUUCAUCAUGUUCGCUCUUUCACCCAACCCUCUUUUCGUUUGUUACGCUUUUGCAAGUAAACAAUCCAAAGCCCACAAAAGCUAAGUUUUCUUUCUAUAUAUUAUUUAAUUGAAUAUUCUAUUAUCUUUAUUUAAGUUUUCAAAAGCAAAAACAGUAAAUAUUCUUAAACUAACGCAGAUGCUUUCGCAGGUUUUCUAUAUAAU